UGACACGCAGAAAACAGUAGCAACAAAAUGACACGAUCAACAUGCUACGUCUAUUAGUUUGGGUCUAGUCCAUCACGUGAUUCUCCUAAUGACGUGAUCCAGUUAUCAAGCAACAACACCUUGUAUAUAAUCAGAAGACCCUAACUAUCUUUGAUCAACUGGCUAGCCAACUAGAGGCUUGCUAGGGACAGUGUUUUGUCUAUG
rnacentral:lncRNA from 1 species